rnacentral:rRNA from 1 species
GAUGAACGCUAGCGGCAGGCUUAACACAUGCAAGUCGAGGGGUAACGAAGUAGCUUGCUACAGGCGACGACCGGCGCACGGGUGAGUAACGCGUAUGCAACCUACCUUUAACUGGAGGAUAGCCCAGGGAAACUUGGAUUAAUACUCCAUAGUCUAUUAAUGCCGCAUGGUAUAAAUAGUAAAGCUCCGGCGGUUAAAGAUGGGCAUGCGUGCCAUUAGAUAGUUGGUAAGGUAACGGCUUACCAAGUCUACGAUGGCUACGGGGUCUUAAAGGAUGAUCCCGCACACUGGUACUGAGACACGGACCAGACUCCUACGGGAGGCAGCAGUGAGGAAUAUUGGUCAAUGGGGGCAACCCUGAACCAGCCAUGCCGCGUGAAGGAAGACGGCCCUAUGGGUUGUAAACUUCUUUUAUACAGGAAUAAAUAGUUCUACGUGUAGAGCUUUGAAUGUACUGUAUGAAUAAGCAUCGGCUAACUCCGUGCCAGCAGCCCGCGGUAAUACGGAGGAUGCAGGCGUUAUCCGGAUUUAUUAAGGUUUAAGGGGUGCGCAGGCGGUCUUUUAAGUCAGUGUUGAAAGUUUGCAGCUUAACUGUAAAAUUGGCAUUGAAACUGGAAGACUUGAAUAUGGUAGAGGUAGGCGGAAUGUGUAGUGUAGCGGUGAAAUGCUUAGAUAUUACACAGAACACCGAUUGCGAAGGCAGCUUACUAUACCAUUAUUGACGCUGAGGCACGAAAGCGUGGGUAGCGAACAGGAUUAGAUACCCUGGUAGUCCACGCCGUAAACGAUGAUUACUGGUUGUGUGCGAUACACUGUACGCGACUGAGGGAAACCAUUAAGUAAUCCACCUGGGGAGUACGUUCGCAAGAAUGAAACUCAAAGGAAUUGACGGGGGCCCGCACAAGCGGAGGAACAUGUGGUUUAAUUCCGAUGAUACGCGAGGAACCUUACCUGGGCUUAAAUGUAGAGUGCAUUAUUUGGAAACAGAUAUUUCCUUCGGGACUCUUUACAAGGUGCUGCAUGGUUGUCGUCAGCUCGUGCCGUGAGGUGUCGGGUUAAGUCCCAUAACGAGCGCAACCCCUAUCGUUAGUUGCUAACAGGUAAUGCUGAGGACUCUAGCGAAACUGCCGGUGUAAACCGAGAGGAAGGUGGGGAUGACGUCAAAUCAGCACGGCCCUUAUGUCCAGGGCUACACACGUGUUACAAUGGCCGAUACAAAGAGCUGCUACUAGGUGACUAGAUGCGAAUCUUCAAAGUCGGUCUCAGUUCGGAUCGGAGUCUGCAACUCGACUCCGUGAAGUUGGAUUCGCUAGUAAUCGUAGAUCAGCAAUGUCUACGGUGAAUACGUUCCCGGGCCUUGUACACACCGCCCGUCAAACCAUGGGAGUUGGGGGUGCCUGAAGUACGUUACCGUAAGGAGCGUCCUAGGGUAAAACUGAUGACUGGGGUUAAGUCGUAACAAGGUAACC